AGUCCCUGAUGAGGAUUGUGGAUAUUAAUCUGUUUGCUGAGAUUUUGUGAUUACGCAAACACUACUGCCUUCCUUCUGAGACU